AUGCAAGUCGAGCGAACAGAUAAGGAGCUUGCUCCUUUGACGUUAGCGGCGGACGGGUGAGAACACGUGGGUAACCUACCUAUAAGACUGGGAUAACUUCGGGAAACCGGAGCUAAUACCGGAUAACAUUUGGAACCGCAUGGUUCUAAAGUGAAAGAUGGUUUUGCUAUCACUUAUAGAUGGACCCGCGCCGUAUUAGCUAGUUGGUAAGGUAACGGCUUACCAAGGCGACGAUACGUAGCCGACCUGAGAGGGUGAUCGGCCACACUGGAACUGAGACACGGUCCAGACUCCUACGGGAGGCAGCAGUAGGGAAUCUUCCGCAAUGGGCGAAAGCCUGACGGAGCAACGCCGCGUGAGUGAUGAAGGGUUUCGGCUCGUAAAACUCUGUUAUUAGGGAAGAACAAACGUGUAAGUAACUGUGCACGUCUUGACGGUACCUAAUCAGAAAGCCACGGCUAACUACGUGCCAGCAGCCGCGGUAAUACGUAGGUGGCAAGCGUUAUCCGGAAUUAUUGGGCGUAAAGCGCGCGUAGGCGGUUUCUUAAGUCUGAUGUGAAAGCCCACGGCUCAACCGUGGAGGGUCAUUGGAAACUGGGAAACUUGAGUGCAGAAGAGGAAAGUGGAAUUCCAUGUGUAGCGGUGAAAUGCGCAGAGAUAUGGAGGAACACCAGUGGCGAAGGCGACUUUCUGGUCUGUAACUGACGCUGAUGUGCGAAAGCGUGGGGAUCAAACAGGAUUAGAUACCCUGGUAGUCCACGCCGUAAACGAUGAGUGCUAAGUGUUAGGGGGUUUCCGCCCCUUAGUGCUGCAGCUAACGCAUUAAGCACUCCGCCUGGGGAGUACGACCGCAAGGUUGAAACUCAAAGGAAUUGACGGGGACCCGCACAAGCGGUGGAGCAUGUGGUUUAAUUCGAAGCAACGCGAAGAACCUUACCAAAUCUUGACAUCCUUUGAAAACUCUAGAGAUAGAGCCUUCCCCUUCGGGGGACAAAGUGACAGGUGGUGCAUGGUUGUCGUCAGCUCGUGUCGUGAGAUGUUGGGUUAAGUCCCGCAACGAGCGCAACCCUUAAGCUUAGUUGCCAUCAUUAAGUUGGGCACUCUAGGUUGACUGCCGGUGACAAACCGGAGGAAGGUGGGGAUGACGUCAAAUCAUCAUGCCCCUUAUGAUUUGGGCUACACACGUGCUACAAUGGACAAUACAAAGGGCAGCUAAACCGCGAGGUCAUGCAAAUCCCAUAAAGUUGUUCUCAGUUCGGAUUGUAGUCUGCAACUCGACUACAUGAAGCUGGAAUCGCUAGUAAUCGUAGAUCAGCAUGCUACGGUGAAUACGUUCCCGGGUCUUGUACACACCGCCCGUCACACCACGAGAGUUUGUAACACCCGAAGCCGGUGGAGUAACCAUUUAUGGAGCUAGCCGUCGAAGGUGGGA
rnacentral:rRNA from 1 species